UCUUGCAUAUUUCGGGUCUCCUCGAUGUACGAGCCUUGCUUGUAAAGGGUUCGUUGUCGUUGAAACCUGCAUAGUGUAAGA
rnacentral:pre_miRNA from 1 species